rnacentral:rRNA from 1 species
GACGAACGCUGGCGGCGUGCUUAACACAUGCAAGUCGAACGGAAAGGCCCUGCUUUUGUGGGGUGCUCGAGUGGCGAACGGGUGAGUAACACGUGAGUAACCUGCCCUUGACUUUGGGAUAACUUCGGGAAACUGGGGCUAAUACCGGAUAGGAGCUCCUGCUGCAUGGUGGGGGUUGGAAAGUUUCGGCGGUUGGGGAUGGACUCGCGGCUUAUCAGCUUGUUGGUGGGGUAGUGGCUUACCAAGGCUUUGACGGGUAGCCGGCCUGAGAGGGUGACCGGCCACAUUGGGCCUGAGAUACGGCCCAGACUCCUACGGGAGGCAGCAGUGGGGAAUAUUGCACAAUGGGCGGAAGCCUGAUGCAGCAACGCCGCGUGCGGGAUGACGGCCUUCGGGUUGUAAACCGCUUUCGCCUGUGACGAAGCGUGAGUGACGGUAAUGGGUAAAGAAGCACCGGCUAACUACGUG